rnacentral:rRNA from 1 species
UACGUAGGUGGCGAGCGUUGUCCGGAUUUACUGGGCGUAAAGGGCGUGCAGGCGGUUUGUUAAGUGCAGGGUGAAAGCUCCCGGCUCAACUGGGAGAGGUCCUUGCAUACUGGCGAACUCGAGGGAGGCAGAGGAAAGUGGAAUUCCCGGUGUAGUGGUGAAAUGCGUAGAUAUCGGGAGGAACACCAGUGGCGAAGGCGACUACCUGGCCUGUUCUUGACGCUGAGGCGCGAAAGCUAGGGGAGCAAACGGG